rnacentral:rRNA from 1 species
CCUGCAGGCGGCCGCACUAGUGAUUACGGCUCAGUAACACGUGGACAACCUACCCUUGUGACGUGGAUAAACCCGGGAAACUGGGUAUAAUCCGCGAUAGUUGUGGAGACCUGGAAUGGCUCUACGACGAAAGCUCCGGCGCCCGAGGAUGGGUCUGCGGCCUAUCAGGUAGUAGUGGGUGUAACGUACCUACUAGCCUACGACGGGUACGGGUUGUGAGAGCAAGAGCCCGGAGAUGGAUUCUGAGGCACGAAUCCAGGCCCUACGGGGUGCAGCAGGCGCGAAAACUUUACAAUGCUGGCAACAGCGAUAAGGGGACCUCGAGUGCCAGGUUACAAAUCUGGCUGUCGAGAUGCCUAAAAAGCAUUUCAUAGCAAGGGCCGGGCAAGACCGGUGCCAGCCGCCGCGGUAACACCGGCGGCUCGAGUGGUAACCGCUAUUAUUUGGUCUAAAGGGUCUGUAGCCGGCCGAAUAAGUCUUUUGGGAAAUCUGGCUGCUCAACAGUCAGGCGAUCAGGAGAUACUGUUCGGCUCGAGGCCGGGAGAGGUGAGAGGUACUUCAGGGGUAGGGGUGAAAUCUUGUAAUCCUUGAAGGACCACCAGUGGCGAAGGCGUCUCACCAGAACGGGCCUGACGGCAAGGGACGAAAGCUAGGGGCACGAACCGGAUUAGAUACCCGGGUAGUCCUAGCCGUAAACGAUACUCGCUAGGUGUCGGCCACGGUGCGACCGUGGUCGGUGCCGUAGGGAAGCCGUGAAGCGAGCCGCCUGGGAAGUACGGCCGCAAGGCUGAAACUUAAAGGAAUUGGCGGGGGAGCA